UCUAAAGAUUUCUUGUUCUUGAGACCCACA
rnacentral:piRNA from 1 species